rnacentral:lncRNA from 1 species
CACCAGGAAAUGCUACAUUAGCCAGAGGGAUACUAAUAUAACCUUCGACUGGCAAACUCGAGACUGAGGAGAUGUUUCAGUUGGACAGCGAGUGGAGCUAAUUACCCGGUUAGGGACUCAAGACAGAUAUCUAAUACAAAAGACCGAAUACAAUCACCAAGUCAAGUCCGACAUAUAUUUUCAGCUUACGGAUUACUAUCCACCCGCUUGUUACAUAUCAGCUAAAUAGUCAUUAAAUAUAUUAAAAAAAUAAUAUAGAUUAAUAUGAGUUAUAUCCACCCUACAAUUAUGUAGCAAACUUGAGAGCAGAGUGGCAUAGUGACGAACU